AUACCAGCGGCCCUAGUGGUGAUCGUUAUUAUUGGGCCUAAAGCGUCCGUAGCCGGUCCGGUAAAUCUCUGGGUAAAUCGUUGGGCUUAACUCAGCGAAUUCUGGGGAGACUGCUGGACUUGGGACCGGGAGAGGUCGGAGGUACUCCAGGGGUAGGGGUGAAAUCCUGUAAUCCUUGGGGGACCACCGGUGGCGAAGGCGUCCGACCAGAACGGGUCCGACGGUAAGGGACGAAGCCCUGGGGCGCGAACCGGAUUAGAAACCCCAGUAGUCC
rnacentral:rRNA from 1 species